rnacentral:rRNA from 1 species
UAACAACUCACCUGCCGAAUGAACUAGCCCUGAAAAUGGAUGACGCUUAAGCGGGUUGCCGACACCAGACCGUUUUGGUAAGAAGCGACCAAAAUGAGUAGGAGGGCGUGGCGGUUUUGUUGAGAAGGAUGAGACGCAAGUCUAUCUGAAACGGCCGCUAGUGCAGAUCUUGGUGGUAGUAGCAAAUAUUCAAGCGAGAUCCUUGAAGGGCGAAGCGGGGAAGGGUUCCACGCGAACAUUGAUUGGGCGUGGGUGAGUCGUGCCUAAGCCGGGUGGUAAUCGUUCUUACGAUCGGCGAAAGGGAAGCGGGUUAAAAUUCUCGCACACGGAUGUGGAGGCGGUGACGCAAAUUGAGGUGGAGACGUUAGCGAUGGCACUGGGCAGAGUUGUCUUUUCUGUUUAACCUGUGGCGGCACUCUGUGGAAUCCGAUUAUCGGGAGAAACAGGUGCUUAUGGGAAGAGCGUCGGGGCGUCCCCGGCGUCCAGUACGCCAUCGAUAGCCCUUGAAAAUCCAUCUGCAAUGAAAUUUCACGCCGUGGCGUACCGAUAACCGCAUCAGGUCCCCAAGGUGAACAGCCUCUGCUCAAUAUGAACAAU